GCUCGUAGUUGGAUCUCAGCUCACGCUAAGUGGUCCACCUAAUGGUGGUUACUACUUAGCUGAGCAUUUUACAGAUUUGUCUCUUGAUGCUCUUCACCGAGUGUCAAGAGUGGUCUGUACGUUUACUUUGAAAAAAUUAGAGUGCUUAAAGCAGGCAACUCGCCCGAAUAAUCUUGCAUGGAAUAAUGGAAUAGGACCUUGGUUCUAUUUUGUUGGUCUCCGGAAUCUGAGGUAAUGAUUAAGAGGGACAGACGGGGGCAUUCGUAUUGCGCCGCUAGAGGUGAAAUUCUUGGACCGGCGCAAGACGAACUACAGCGAAAGCAUUUGCCAAGAAUGUUUUCAUUAAUCAAGAACGAAAGUUAGAGGUUCGAAGGCGAUCAGAUACCGCCCUAGUUCUAACCAU
rnacentral:rRNA from 1 species